CGAUAAGAUAUGUAGAAAAAAAACCUUUUUGUAAGUGUCUCACAAUGUUUUUGGAUUGAGAUUCAUUCUCAAUCUUGGAGGAGCUGCUGGGAUCUUCGCCUUCCAUGAAGCGUCGAUUUAGUUUGAAAGAAGGAAAGCCUGCCCGAAAUAUCAAACGCCGUUAUAUUUCCAUAAUUAUUUUUUGUGUGUUUUUUGUUAUUAUUACUUAUUAUUAAAGAUAAGAAAUUAUUACAUUAGAGAGCCAUUUCUAGCCUACAUAUUA
rnacentral:lncRNA from 1 species